rnacentral:rRNA from 1 species
UACAGAGGUCUCAAGCGUUGUUCGGAUUCAUUGGGCGUAAAGGGUGCGUAGGUGGCAUGGUAAGUCGGAUGUGAAAUCCCGGGGCUCAACCCCGGAACUGCAUUCGAUACUGCUGCGCUAGAGUACUGGAGAGGAGAUUGGAAUUUACGGUGUAGCAGUGAAAUGCGUAGAUAUCGUAAGGAAGACAGUGGCGAAGGCGGAUCUCUGGACAGUUACUGACACUGAGGCA